rnacentral:rRNA from 1 species
GAGACCCACGCCAACAGUUGCCAGCAUGUCCUCCGGGAUGAUGGGGACACUGUUGGGACCGCCUCUGCUAAAGAGGAGGAAGGAAUGGGCAACGGUAGGUCAGCAUGCCCCGAAUUACCCGGGCUACACGCGGGCUACAAUGGACAGGACAAUGGGUAUCGACACCGAAAGGUGAAGGCAAUCUCCUAACCCUGCCCUUAGUUCGGAUUGUGGGCUGCAACUCGCCCACAUGAAGCUGGAAUCCGUAGUAAUCGCGUCUCAAAAUGGCGCGGUGAAUCU